rnacentral:rRNA from 1 species
CCUUGACAUCCAAUGAACUUUCCAGAGAUGGAUUGGUGCCUUCGGGAACAUUGAGACAGGUGCUGCAUGGCGGUCGUCAGCUCGUGUCGUGAGAUGUUGGGUUAAGUCCCGUAACGAGCGCAACCCUUGUCCUUAGUUACCAGCACGUAAUGGUGGGCACUCUAAGGAGACUGCCGGUGACAAACCGGAGGAAGGUGGGGAUGACGUCAA